CCUACGGGUGGCAGCAGUGGGGAAUUUUGGACAAUGGGCGAAAGCCUGAUCCAGCCAUGCCGCGUGUGUGAAGAAGGCCUUCGGGUUGUAAAGCACUUUCAGUGGGGAAGAAAGCCUUGGGGCUAAUACCCUCGAGGAAGGACAUCACCCACAGAAGAAGCACCGGCUAACUCCGUGCCAGCAGCCGCGGUAAUACGGAGGGUGCGAGCGUUAAUCGGAAUUACUGGGCGUAAAGCGCGCGUAGGCGGUCUGAUAAGCCGGUUGUGAAAGCCCCGGGCUCAACCUGGGAACGGCAUCCGGAACUGUCAGGCUAGAGUGCAGGAGAGGAAGGUAGAAUUCCCGGUGUAGCGGUGAAAUGCGUAGAGAUCGGGAGGAAUACCAGUGGCGAAGGCGGCCUUCUGGACUGACACUGACGCUGAGGUGCGAAAGCGUGGGUAGCAAACAGGAUUAGAUACCCUGGUAGUC
rnacentral:rRNA from 1 species